rnacentral:rRNA from 1 species
AAACUUUCAACAACGGAUCUCUUGGUUCUGGCAUCGAUGAAGAACGCAGCGAAAUGCGAUAAGUAAUGCGAAUUGCAGAAUUCCGUGAGUCAUCGAAUCUUUGAACGCACAUUGCGCCCUUUGGUAUUCCGAAGGGCAUGCCUGUCCGAGCGUCAUU